CAGCCGCCACGGUAAAACGGAGGGGGCUAGCGUUGUUCGGAAUUACUGGGCGUAAAGCGCACGUAGGCGGCUUGGUAAGUUAGAGGUGAAAGCCCGGAGCUCAACUCCGGAAUUGCCUUUAAGACUGCCGAGCUAGUAGGUGAGAGAGGUAAGUGGAAUUCCGAGUGUAGAGGUGAAGUUCGUAGAUAUUCGGAAGAACACCAGUGGCGAAGGCGGCUCACUGGACGACUGUUGACGCUGAGGUGCGAAAGCGUGGGGAGCAAACAGGAUUAGAUACCCGAGUAGUCCUUGUCUCUUAUAC
rnacentral:rRNA from 1 species